CUCAGCCACUCCCACUCUCAGAUGGGGACAUGUCUCUCGAACCUCUGAUGGGGCAGCCUGUAUCCUCUGCAGAUUCUUUCCUGUACCACCUGCUUGCUGCCUCUUGGUAGAGCCCAUGACAUUGUUUUGCAGCUCUGAUCUGAGCUGAUAAGAUCAGCCGAUCGCUGUCCCUACUACCAGCUGGCCCUGCAGGCCGCUCUCCUCUACCCUGAAAGAGACCCACAGCCCCGCAGAGACACAGACGCAAGUCUUUCAGUCCCCUCCCCUCAUCCAGUCAGCAGAAUCAAAGGUGCCAGCCAGCUGGGCUCUCCAUUGAGGGCCUGGGAGCAGGGUCCAGGCAGAGCUGGGACAGCACUCCUUCCCACUGCACACACCUUCACCAGGCACACCCCACCCCAAACACACCUCUGGGGUGUGGCUUCCACGUCCAUCGAAUGGGGAAGUAAUCCCAUCCAGCCAUCCUUACUCAGGCCUGGGAGGCCCAGGGGAACAACAAGGCUGAAAGGGACACCAGUCAUUGGAUUUAGGACCCACCCUACUCCAGCAUGACCUUGGCUUAACUUCAUUACAUCUGCAAAGACUACUUCCAAAUAAGGUCACAUGCACACAUAUUGGGUUAAGCAGAAUCUCCCAGAACUGGAGAAGCACUACCUGUGAGGCAGCAUCCGCACCUUCUGAUGCUUGUGAGGAGGAGUCGUCUCCCAGGCAUGCGAGCAGGUGCCAAAGUUGGGCACUGAGGCACGACCCCACGAAGAGGGUGGCUCCAGGUAGACACACUCUGGGCCCCUGAGUGCAGGGUCGGAAGGAGCAGGCCCACGCCUCCUGACUGGAGAGCAGGAGGAGAACAGGGUGCAGGAUUCAGCGUAAGUGUGAAUCUGUUGCCUAGACACGUGUGCAUGUGGGCACAUGG